AUUGAACGCUGGCGGCAUGCUUUACACAUGCAAGUCGGACGGCAGCACAGAGAAGCUUGCUUCUUGGGUGGCGAGUGGCGAACGGGUGAGUAACAUAUCGGAACGUACCGAGUAAUGGGGGAUAACUAAUCGAAAGAUUAGCUAAUACCGCAUAUUCUCUGAGGAGGAAAGCAGGGGACCUUCGGGCCUUGCGUUAUUCGAGCGGCCGAUAUCUGAUUAGCUAGUUGGUGGGGUAAAGGCCUACCAAGGCGACGAUCAGUAGCGGGUCUGAGAGGAUGAUCCGCCACACUGGGACUGAGACACGGCCCAGACUCCUACGGGAGGCAGCAGUGGGGAAUUUUGGACAAUGGGCGCAAGCCUGAUCCAGCCAUGCCGCGUGUCUGAAGAAGGCCUUCGGGUUGUAAAGGACUUUUGUCAGGGAAGAAAAGGCUGUUGCUAAUAUCGACAGCUGAUGACGGUACCUGAAGAAUAAGCACCGGCUAACUACGUGCCAGCAGCCGCGGUAAUACGUAGGGUGCGAGCGUUAAUCGGAAUUACUGGGCGUAAAGCGAGCGCAGACGGUUACUUAAGCAGGAUGUGAAAUCCCCGGGCUCAACCUGGGAACUGCGUUCUGAACUGGGUGACUAGAGUGUGUCAGAGGGAGGUAGAAUUCCACGUGUAGCAGUGGAAUGCGUAGAGACGUGGAGGAAUACCGAUGGCGAAGGCAGCCUCCUGGGAUAACACUGACGUUCAUGCUCGAAAGCGUGGGUAGCAAACAGG
rnacentral:rRNA from 1 species